GUGGAUUAGAUACCCUAGUAGUCCACGCUGUAAACGAUGAAUACUAGGUGUGGGAGGACUGACCCCUUCCGUGCCGCAGUUAACACAAUAAGUAUUCCACCUGGGGAGUACGAUCGCAAGAUUGAAACUCAAAGGAAUUGACGGGGGCCCGCACAAGCAGUGGAUUAUGUGGUUUAAUUCGACGCAACGCGAAGAACCUUACCGGGAUUUGACAUCCUACUAACGAAGUAGAGAUACAUUAGGUGCCCUUCGGGGAAAGUAGAGACAGGUGGUGCAUGGUCGUCGACAACU
rnacentral:rRNA from 1 species